rnacentral:rRNA from 1 species
AUUGAACGCUGGCGGCAGGCCUAACACAUGAAAGUCGAACGAGUGCCGGACGGGCGAGUAAUUUCUGGGAAACUGCCCGAUGGAGGGGGAUAACUACUGGAACCGGUACCAACUCCUGCUUACCACCGGAGGGCCUCAGCUGGGAUUAGCUAGUCGGUGGGGUAAAGGCUCCCCUAGGCGACGAGCCCUAGCUGGUCUGAGAGGAUGACCAGCCACCCUGCAACUGAGUCACGAGCCAGACUCCUACGGGAGGCAGCAGUGGGGAAUGUUGCACAAUGUGCGCAAGCCGGAUGCUGCCAUGCCGCGUGUAUGAAGAAGGCCUUCGGGUUGGAAAGUACUUUCAGCGGGGAGGCGUUACCCGCAGUAGAAGCACCGGCUAACUCCGUGCCAGCAGCCGCGGUAAUUC